CGUUUGCAGUACCGUUUGCUUAGCGCCUCAGAUGAAACUAACAGUGCUAUUUUCGACGUUUCACCUGCCGAGACAACGGACAGAACGAGAAGGUUGCGUUAGAUCUUAUGAUCAUGACGACGAGGAUCUUCAACAAUUUCAUCAGAAAAAGGAGAGCAAAAUCAGUACUGGCCAUAGAAAAUCAUCAAAAAAAUAUGGUGAAGCUGAGCAGCAUGAACCUGAUGCUGGUGCAUCAUCCACUACCAUAUCAAAAGCAUCGUAUCAGGUUACUUAAAAGGAAGUUUCUCCUCAUGAUGAUUCAGACCUGGAAAUUAUUCAUUAAUCAGUAUCGUGCUCGCUGGGAGUUGGAGAGCCAGAUCUGUCAUUGAUUCAGUCGAGGGAAGAUCAGGUAACAGAUGUAGGUUGUGCCCUCCUUCUCUUUAUACUUGUAUCUUGAUACAAUUUCUGGUAGGUUAGCACAUAUGAUAUGUAGACUUGAUGUAUAAUUAUAUUCUCAUUUGUUGCUGGGUAGGGGCAACGCAGGAACCUGGUGGUUUGGAAUUGAGGCAAUCUGGUCGAAGUAGUGAAAUAGUGCUUGAAGGAGAAUGGCGGCUUCCUUUCUCUGAGCCCUGUGAAAAUGCCCUUUCAAGGUCGGCUUCAGUAAAGACUGGCAUGAAGGAGGCAUCCUGCUACUGAGCCUUGUGAAAGUUCUGAUGCUCUUUCAAGGUUAGCUUCAGUAAAGACUGGCACGAAGGAGGCAUCCUGCGAAGCAGAGCAAACUGGUGAGUCAGGAAAAGUAUGUGCAUCUGCUGGUUCGACCUUGUUGGAUGGAUUUUCAGCUUCCAUUUUGUCUUUACACGAGGCAGAUGGGAUUUCAUCUGCUAAUCUUGCCAUGAAAAAAUGGAAGGGAGAAGGUUCAUCUUACCAAGAAAACUCCGCCAUGCCUUUUCCAUUUGGUGACUAUGAAAAAGACUCAGGCUGUUUUGGACAGUAGGACAGCCGCAGAGGGUUACAAGUUACAAUGAACUAUAUAUGCCAGACAAAUCUUGUAUGGUUGAGGAUAUUAGCCUUGAUGGACCCGGUGAAACUAAAUGUUCAGCUGGUGGACAUAUUGUGCCACCUGUUGUGGGUGUGAGCGCAAUCAGUCUGUCGCAGCUCAUGGAAAUGAUAAGGGGGCUUACUGAAGAAGAGUUUAGGUUUUUGCUCAAGUCAAGGGAAUCAGUUUCUAAUUCAGGUUUGAGAACUGUUAGUAUGAUUUUUGUAGAAAACGGCUCUACAGAUUUUGGAAGUUGAACCUUUGGUGAGAAAGUUUUAGUUGCUGGAAACGUUAGUCACUUUAUUAAUAUAUAUAUAUAUAUAUAUAUAAUACUCAUUUAGUUUCUCGGAUAUGAACUUUGAUGUGUUAAGUUUCAUAAGCUUGUCCAUUUCAGAUCAAUUGCUGUUUGAAAUGGCCUUCUCCCUCUCAAAAAGGGGGAAAAAGUAAAAACAAAGGAAUGCAUUAUGUAUUGAUAAUUGUCCAAAUCAACUUUAUAGGAAAUGAAGGGGAUCGUGCAAUUUAUAUUUCUUUGGUUCAGAUAUUGAUGAGGCAUUGGAAUAUAUGGUGGCCGCUACUCGGUAGUUUGCGUUAGUGACAAAUUAAGUAGUACCUUUUAUCACUGGUUUCCCAUUCAAAUGUGUUAGACAGUGAUAUUUGCUUUGUACUUCCAGGCCCACUUCAUGGACCACAAGUAUGCACUAGAACUAUUUGGUUUUAUUUACAUUAUGUGGAUGCUCCUUUGUGACAUUCGGUUCAUUUCGUUUAACUGUUAGUUCAUUGCUUUAAUUUUACUUUUGAUAGUUGUGAACGCUUAUAUCUUAUAUCCAAAUUCCUCUUUUUUUAAGUUGCAAUGCCCUUUGUAGAGCAAUUAUAUAUUUUUUUUUUCAAGGUUAGAUUACUCUUGAUGUAAACGAUCGAUUGUGGUGGGAUCCUUGCAGAU